rnacentral:sRNA from 1 species
GAACGGAGAGUGUCGCCGGCAUAGUCGCCCCCGCUGACGGCUCUUUCCAGGGGGCGAGCCACAAACUCGCUCCCACUGCUUCCUUUCGAUGGAAAACAGCCCCCUUCCGUCGAAAGGCCAAUGGGCGGUGAAGUUUCCCCCAGCUUCACCGCCUAUUCUU